CAAUAGCGUAUAUUUAAGUUGUUGCAGUUAAAAAGCUCGUAGUUGGAUUUCUGCUGAUCGCUGUCGGUCUGCCGUCAGGUGUGUACUGGCAGUGUUUGGCAUCUAUUCGAGAUUGGGUGUCCACUUGAUUGUGUGCACUCGAUGUCGGAGCUAAUACUUUGAGAAAAUUAGAGUGUUCCACGCAGGCGCGUGCCUUGAAUACUGCAGCAUGGGAUAUUGGAAGGCCGAUUGAGCUUUCUUGUUGGUUCUCGGUUUGAUCGGAAUGAUUAAUAGGGAUAGUUGGGGGCAUUCGUAUUCAACUGUCAGAGGUGAAAUUCUUGGACUUGUUGAAGACGGACUACUGCGAAAGCAUCUGCCAUGGAUGUUCUCAUUG
rnacentral:rRNA from 1 species